CCUACGGGAGGCAGCAGUGAGGAAUAUUGGACAAUGGGCGCAAGCCUGAUCCAGCCAUGCCGCGUGCAGGAUGACGGUCCUAUGGAUUGUAAACUGCUUUUAUACAGGAAGAAACACCUCUACGUGUAGAGACUUGACGGUACUGUAAGAAUAAGGAUCGGCUAACUCCGUGCCAGCAGCCGCGGUAAUACGGAGGAUCCAAGCGUUAUCCGGAAUCAUUGGGUUUAAAGGGUCCGUAGGCGGUUUAGUAAGUCAGUGGUGAAAGCCCAUCGCUCAACGGUGGAACGGCCAUUGAUACUGCUAGACUUGAAUUAUUAGGAAGUAACUAGAAUAUGUAGUGUAGCGGUGAAAUGCUUAGAGAUUACAUGGAAUACCAAUUGCGAAGGCAGGUUACUACUAAUUGAUUGACGCUGAUGGACGAAAGCGUGGGUAGCGAACAGGAUUAGAUACCCUGGUAGUCCACGCCGUAAACGAUGGAUACUAGCUGUUGGGAGCAAUCUCAGUGGCUAAGCGAAAGUGAUAAGUAUCCCACCUGGGGAGUACGAACGCAAGUUUGAAACUCAAAGGAAUUGACGGCUGAGAGNGCGAGGACGACACGAGGGAGGAGG
rnacentral:rRNA from 1 species